rnacentral:lncRNA from 1 species
AUGAUGAUUGUUGAUGCUGGCACACAAUUAAAUGCAUUGCGGUUUUCUGCUGGCAUUGUGUUUCAGACUCAAACGCAAAGGUUAAGUUCAUCCGCCUCACAAUCUCCGCAUCAAAGUGACACUUCAGAGCUCAAGAGCUCUGAAGAAAGUACCUCAGAGGACCAAAGUUCAGAGUCUGAGUCCGAAUCAUUGGAAUCCAAUUCAGAGGUGAGUGACAACAACAGUAUUCCUACUCCAGUAUUAUCCUUCCCAAAAAAUACUGUAUUAUUAACUGGGUGGUUCGAGCCCUGAAUGCUGAUUGGCUGACAGCCGUGGUAUAGCAGAGUAUGACAAAACAUAUAUUUUUACUGCUCUAAAUACGUUGGUAACAAGUUUAUAAUAGGAAUAAGACACCUCGGGGUUUAUAGUACAUGGCCAUUAUACCACGGCUAAGGGCUGUAUCUAGCCACUCCGAGUCGCAUCCUGCAUAAGAACACCCCUUAGCCGUGUUAUAUUGGUCAUAUACCACACCCCCCCGAGCCUUAUUGCUUAAGUAUACUAUGGUAUAAAUACUAUAUUAUUCACUGUAGUUUUUACUGUAGUAUACUGUAGUAUUCACAGUAAAAUAUAGUACAAACAGUGUAGUAAAAUAAAUUUGUAGUAUAUACUAUAGUAAUUAAUGUAGUGUUUUUGCAGACUGUAGUAUACUGUAGUAUUUACUGUUGUGUUUUUGCGGAUAUUAAUAUAGUAUUUACUAUAGUGUUUUAGUUUUAUUAUCUUUGACAUAGAAGUGGAGGCUUUCUCCUUCAGGAAACCUACUGGAGAAAUACUAAAAGAGCACAUUUUCCAUAACCUGUACGUAGGUAGGACUGGGGUCUGAACGGAUAGUUCAGAGCUUCUGCUCUUUUCUAUACCCUGUAGAGAACGCAAUAUAUGUUCUAUACUUGGCAUGUAGGUUUCUCACUUAUGCGUGGCAUAAAUUGCUAUAAGGUGAGGGGAAUAGGCAGAGUAAAUGCAAAUGAAAUACUGUAAUAUAAAAAGUGCAGUAUUUUGCACAUUGUGGUGUUUUUGCAGACAUUACUGUAGUAUUUACUACGGAGCUUUUUUUUGCAGAUAAUACUGUAGUAUUUACUAUAGUAUUCUACAGUAUACUGCAAUGUUGUAUAGUAAGUACUAGAAAUGAUUGAGGGACACUACAGUGUGUAGUAUAGUAUUCUACAGUAUCCUACAGUUUACUAUAGAAUUCUAUAGUAAGUAUUGUAGUAUUCUACAGUAAACUGUAGUAUUGUAUUUAAUGUGAGUUGUUCUGGUUGUGCAAAUACUAGGGCUGUUAGUCGAAUACAAAAGUAAAUACAUUGAAAAAUACCUCCUUGGUCCAUUUUGUUGUAAUCUGUUCCCCUUCACACAGUCUUCCGAGAGCCAUUCUUUAGAGAGUGAGAGCCAAUCACUGGAGGACAGGGUAAAGAUCCUCAGAUUUACAUCAUUUCACAGAUUGCAUAUCAAAACAAUAAAAUUAGAAAGAUGCAAUCA